GGGUCCGGACACACUGAGGAUUGACAGAUAUACGUCGUGCGUUGAGCUCUCUCGGGGGCCGAGCGCAUGACUGAAAGAUGCUAGUUCUUUCAUGAUUAUGUGAUAGGUGGUGCAUGGCCGUUCUUAGUUCGUGGAGUGAUCUGUCUGCUUAAUUGCGUAUCAUAAAAAGAGACCUAGUAUACGCGUAAGAUAUCGUUUACGGUUCGUGACCCCCUUCGGGCGUGUGUCGCACGUACGUAUCAUACGCACUGGUCUCCGAUAGCAACGAACGUGACCGUACUCUAUUGUUGCAGCGAAUGUAUGCAUCUUCGGGUGUAUCUACCGCUGCUUAGUGCGUAUGCGUACUUCGGUGCGUGUCGUACAUUAAACUAUAGAGACCGCUGUAUUUUUUUUAAACCAGAGGAAGGAUACGGCAAUAACAGGUCUGUGAUGCCCUCAGAUGUUCCGGGCUGCACACGUGCUACAAUGAUCAUUGCACUGUGCAUCUAACCCAAUGUGCGUGGACGCCACGGUAUGUAUUUAUGCUUCGGCGUAGUAUAUAUCAGUUGGUCGGCCGCGCCGAACCUACUUCGAAAGUAAAAUUUCUCAGUGGGU
rnacentral:rRNA from 1 species